UGUUGUGCGCGUACAACCAGCCGGGAUUCCGAAUCUACAAGUUGCAGAAUUUAUCCUGCGAACGCCCUUUGGACAAACCCGGGGCUGCGCCGAAAGGCACAACGCCCUAACGCUCCCUUGACAAGUCAAGAUGCUGCGCCGCCAGGCAGCGGUGUCCUGUGGAGGAGCAUCGGCGAGCGACAUGUCCAAACGUGCAACAAAGUGCUAGGCAGCCCGGAGCCGUAUUUCCUUUCCCCUGGAGGUCACCGUGCGCGGCGAAUUUGAAGCGGGUGGCCAGCGCGGUCGCUGGUUGGACCUCUCGGACGACCGUCGAGUGCUGGCUUUGUAUUGGGCCGUUUGAGUGACAGUCGUUUCUCGGGGCUUUAUAAGCCUCGACGCUGCCGCCUGGAGGACCGGAUCCACCGAACCACCGUGAGCCGAGUGCCGCUCUCGAAGGGAGUGAGAUGUGUUACGCGUUGGAAUCUCGCCGGACGUCGCCGUGUGGGAACAGUCGCGUUUGCUGUUAGCUCUCGGCCCCCGUGCCGAUCCGAUCAUGUCCUGUAUAAUGACCUGUAUAUAGUGUAUAAGGUCCCUUUUGUUAUUCUCACCGACGCCUGACUCGGAGUCUUCGCUACCGACUAGAGAGCUGGCAACGCUCUGUCACAGAAUGGGUGACGAGCGCUACGGGACCACCUCAAAGUCGCAACACUGUGGAGCCGCUAUAUAUAUCUUUCAGUAUUUUUGCAUACGGCUCGUCUACACCCUGAUUCCGUAGUGCCUCCAUGACUGCUGAGGUUUCGACUGAAUCAAACGCUUUCUCGUAACGAAUGAAAACUAUAUAUAAGGGUUGGUUAUAUUCCGCACAUUUCUCUAUCACCUGAUUGAUAGUGUGACCCUUGCCCUUCCUGACCUUCAAACACGGCGCAACAUCUCGCGCCUUUGUUUAUUCCACAAAGUGUUCCAUCGCCAUUCAUUGAAUCAGCAACUCAUUUCGCAGCCAGUGUACUUAUCCUCCCGUAUCGAUCACAGCAAUAAGGUAGCUGUUCCCCUUUGUCGCACUGACAUGUUCCUGCAUUCUUUUAUGCCGAAAACCUGUUCUGAGUGGAAGCGCCUUCCCUCUUUUAUCGCCACCUUAGCCGAUGCGUCAUCAUUCAAGACCGCUGUGGCAGAUCAUCUUUUAAUAUGACUGGAAUUUUGCUGGAUUUUUUUCCUUUUAUUUUGAGGCUCUUACUGUCUAUCUUGUCCUUGUGUUAUACGCCUGAAUGCUUCUUUGUAAACCAUGUACCCACCCCCUCUGUAAUGCCCAUUGGGCCCUGAGGAUAUGAUAGUAAAUAAAUAAAUAAAAUAAAUAAAUAAAUAAAUAAAUAAAUAAAUAAAUAAAUAAGUAAAUAAAUAAAAUAAAUAAAUAGGUAAAUAAAUAAAUAAAUAAAUAAAUAAAUAAAUAAAUAAAUAAAAUAUGUUCUAUUGUUGAGUAGCCUUUACGGAAUCCUGCCUGGUCCUUUGGAAAAGCAACGUAAGAACCUAUAAAAAUACCGAGCGGCUUUAAACAGCGGUGCCAUACAAAUACUAAGAUAAACGCUGAGACGCCGAAGCGCCGAACAGGUGUGUAUCAGAUGGAAGGAAAGGAAGGUUCUUCUUGAGAAACCGCAACUGACGGCGAGCUAACGGAAUCGCCCACCUUAAAGCGUCGCAUGGCUACUGCCUCUACAAUCUUUCCAGCUGGCCAUUUGUUUUCAAAGACAGAUUAUCUGCAAAAAAAUGACGAACCGGACAGACGUGUUCGGGGCGUAAGUCUCUCGGCGUGUAUCUUAGUAUGUGCAUCGCAGCUCUGUUUAAGGUCGCUCUGUGUUUUUUUUUUGUUGUUCUUACGUUGCUUUUGGGAUGGACACGCGUGUGCGAUCUGUAUAAGCUUAGCGUUCGAUUGGUUAAAUGCUCAGUUGCCAGUACCGCUUCGUGUUCUUUUCCCUUUCUUCAAGUCUAGUGUUUAGCUUGCGGUAACUUCCCAAAAUCCGAAUUAAGGGACGCUGAAGCGAAACCAUAAGUUGGUUUGGUUGGGCGAAGCGUGUUUCCACGGCAGCUGGGAGUUCGCCGCAUCCGUUGGCCAGUCGACAUCAGAGAUGGAUUCACGCGACGGGUCCGGUCACUAAUUCGGGUUGAAAACGAAGGCGAUGUGGCUCAGUGCCGCUGAAUCACGUGAAAGGAGCUAGAUCGGAGCCCUCCAGCUGAAGCUUUGUCUUAAGACUAAGCUUUAGCUCCCACCUUAAUACAUGGCAAAAGAGAAAUCGUUUUCCUCGGCUACGACUUGAGCAAAUUUGAUGAGGAUCAUUGCAUUCAAAAGAAAAAAAAAAUAACAUUUAGUGAUUGUUGGAAGCGAAUUUUUUUAUUUAUCUCGUCAUUUAUAUAUAUUUUUUAAAUGUCGCAGCAAAGGUGAAACCGUGACUUCUUGCGAAAUUGCGAAAGGGGACGUCAUGAGAACUUCGAGGAACUGAGCAGGCUGCAAUCGUUGGUUACUUUCGCCUGUCUGUCUGUUCGUUCCUAUUAUAAGCCCACCUAUUAUAAGCCCACGCUGUGUCUGAUGACAUGCUAGUCCACGUGCGACUGACUAUGUAUAUGAGUCGAAUUCGGGGAGGAAGAGCAAGCAUUUAAGAGUGUGCCUCUUUGUUGCACACCGUGCUGUCGCACUGGAAGAAAAAAAACAGCUAGUACAGACGCUGAGUGCAGGUAAGUAUUUACGCGUGGCUCCGUAUUUCAGCGAAUGUUUUCUCGUGAGCAAGCUGCCGGUGUUAUUUCGAGGUGCAAAGUUCUAGAUCGAAGCCAUUAGAUCUAGAACGAAAAAUCGACAUUUUUUUGCGUCACAGCAGCAUGGUUUUCGUAAAAAUUAUUUUUGUGAGACCCUAUUAUUAAUCUUUACUAAUGAUUUCAGCUAGUCAUAGCUCAGGCCGACCUCUCUGCCUUUCUGUAAAUAAAUUUAUCUCUCUCUCUCUUGUCUUCUGCUUUAGAUCGAGCUUCAGUUAUUGACUGCAUCUUCCUUGACUUCGCGAAAGCUUUCGAUACCUUCUCACAUCGACGACUAUUGCUGAAACUUAGCACACUCCAUCUUCAUUGAAGCUUCCUUAAUGGAUUGAAUCUUUCUUGCAGAUUAGAACACAGUACGUUUCUGUUAGUGAUCAUGACUCUAAAUCAUGCAAUGUAACAUCCGGUGUUCCUCAAGGGUCAGUCCUUGGGCCUCUUCUUUUUAUAACAUAUUAAAGACCUGCCUGAUUCUGUUACUUCUAACAUAAGGCUCUUUGCAGAUGACUGCGUUCUGUACCGCGCAAUUUCUAAUGAGUCUGACUUCUCCACUAUUCAGUCUGACCUCAACAAUAUUUCUUCUUGGUGUGAUACAUGGCUUAUGAAACUAAACAUUAACAAAUCAAUGAGGGUGUCAGCGCGUGUGUAUGUGGACGUUUUAUUCGAAGGACGAUGUACGCGGUUCUAUUUGCCUUUAAGAAGAUCGGUGCGCUUGACGAUAAUUUUCAUGGCUGCAAUGCGGCGAAAGGGCAGCGUCUGCUUAGCUAUGCAAGUGACGCUGAGCAGGUAAUUGGACACGACAUUGUAUGUGCCGCCGGAAAAAUUGCCGGCACAUACGGUGCGUGUUAGCUAAAGUCAUUUUUGCAGUUUCCCACAAAAUUUUUGCUACAAAUCCGUGUUGCCUCUGUUGGCGACAACGGACUUCCGUAGACACUGUGCGGAAAUAUACAAAAUAUAUCACCGAAUAGCACAAAUACGACACGCGCACACAACUUUAACUAGUACGUCCCCUACCAUAUAGAAUGGAGGCAGCAGCGUAAAUAGCUUGGCCAUUAUUCAACAGUGCUCAAGAGACGGAAGUUGAAAGUAUUAGUAGUCAUUUCUGCUUCAGCAAUGCCGGCGCGACCAAAACGUGGGCGUGUAUCGUCCAGUAACUCGAUCGAUCGGUGCAGUGGUGAUGCAGGUAUGGACCUCGGUCAUGUUCAGUGCAUCGUGCACAUAUGCAAUUUCUCGGCACGCGUGAACUCCGGCCACUGCUAGCGCAUGCAACAGAAGUGGUUUACAUUCUUGGGCAGCGCAGACACAAACGAAACACAAGAAAGAAGACAGGACAAGCGCCGGUCUAACAACUGAAAGUUUUUAUUUCAAUAAGAGGAUUAUAUACCCAGUAAUCAUGAAAUUCAUGGGGAUUAGAUGUAAAAACCGUCAUACACUCGCAAGUAAUCAAUGAACGAGAUCACUUCGAUUGCCAGUUGUUUACUUACUUUGUUCGGCGCACCGCAGUAAUCCGUGUCUGUCGUCUGCUUUUUUCGUACCAUUGUGAAUGGGUGGAAUUUCACUGGUGGCAUCAACCCUUUCGUGUUUACAUUCCUGUCGUGACAGUUAACAACACAAUAAUAAUUUCCAGUCAUCCGAAGAGGCGCCGUCGCAAACAAGAGACGUUUCGCGCACAGCGCGAGCUAUGCGCGGGCGCGACCUUGAAGGGAAGCGGCGGAAACGUACACCCGUGGGCGGUGAAACCGUCCGCCAGGGGAGAAACGAGCGCUGGCGUCUAGGAUGAAAGUUGGCGUGCGGACGUCUAUACUGCGUGCGGUUGCCGGUGAGCGGGUUCUGUGGUCGGCCCGACAGGCACGACCGUUGCGACUUACCGACUGUCACGUUUCUCUCUGCGAGCAGACUGUACAUAACCAUUUCUACGAGAUUUGUUGCGCAAAAGUGACGAUCUACCGAGAGUUAGUGAAGAGUUUGACGGAAUGGCGUUUUGCUAGGAAACGGUAUCCACCGACUGUUGGAAGUAAAUUGUGAAGGCCAUCAAUUUAUGCUUUCCGAAAAUGGCAUUGAUGUAGAAAAAGAAAAUGUGAAGGGCCAAGUUUACAACGCUGCUUUUGAAGUAAGUAAAAACAUGAAAUCGCAGUUGUGUAAACGGCAUCUGUUAGAUCGCCAAAAGCGCACCAAUCUGACGUAUAUUGCUGCGAAUAAUGUCACAAUAAUUUGUUGCAAAACUCAAGCAAGAAAACAUAGUGUUUUUAAUUGAGAUGCGUAAUGUAUAUGCAUGCAUAAGACAGGCAUCAUAUUGAUCCGUUGCAUCAUAUUUAUCCGUUGCAGAGUUUCGGUGUUGUAAUCUUGGUGAUAAAAUUUUUUGAGCAUUUACCGGUUCUCAGUAUUUGCGGGUAAACAAAGAAAUAAAGAAUGCGCCAUUAAAUCAACCUUAUAUUCAAGACAUGAAAACAUUGCCAUUUCUGUCCAAAAUUCUACAUAUAUUCAAAUCUGCUGGGUGAUAGUGUAAUGAGGGCACUUGUACGUUUCAAAUGAACUAGAAAAAAAGAUGUCUUCGCUCUGAACUACACUCAAAACACGGCAACCUUUAAAGGUGCAUAUCUUCUUUUUCACAUUUUUUACAGGAAGAAGCGUGCUCGUUAUCGUAAAUCUUGGCAGCAUUUCACCCGGGAUUGGACGGGCUCCAUUCGGUCGAGGUGAAAGUUGACAAAUAAUGAUCCGCGUGGCUGCAGCAAUCUUUCUGGCCGCUUUCAUUCUGCGGUCCUCCAGCAAUACUGCCACAUGCCCACCUACAAAGUGUCCCGUAAAGAAUGAAACUGCGUUGAGGUGUACGUACGUAUGUCGUGGAGCUAGUGUACCUGCUUUCUGGCUGGCACCGCGAGGAUCAUGGACAAAUGGUACGCCGUGCUGGAUGAACGAAACGGGAGAGGGAUGCGUAGGCGUGUGCUGUGGUGGAAAGUGCGUACUACCGGGCUGUUGUGAGAGCCUGUUGAGUGCAUGUCCAAACUUCGAUCCAAACUCCUCGAGUGCUUUGCGACAAUGCGACUCAGUACGUUCUCAAAAAUAAAGAUGGGUACCGAGAAAGCGGUUCAGCGCAUAACUGAGGCGUUUUUUCUUCUACAA